rnacentral:rRNA from 1 species
UUCGGUACAUCGGUGACAGGUGGUGGCAUGGUUGUCGUCAGCUCGUGUCGUGAGAUGUUGGGUUAAGUCCCGCAACGAGCGCAACCCCUAUUGUUAGUUGCCAUCAUUCAGUUGGGCACUCUAGCGAGACUGCCGGUAAUAAACCGGAGGAAGGUGGGGAUGACGUCAAAUCAUCAUGCCCCUUAUGACCUGGGCUACACACGUGCUACAAUGGUUGGUACAACGAGUUGCGAGUCGGUGACGGCGAGCUAAUCUCUUAAAGCCAAUCUCAGUUCGGAUUGUAGGCUGCAACUCGCCUACAUGAAGUCGGAAUCGCUAGUAAUCGCGGAUCAGCACGCCGCGGUGAAUACGUUCCCGGGCCUU